UCAAGCCCGCGGGCUGAAUCCUCCAAAUUUUCACCGUAAAUAAAAACCGGAAAAUGAACCAGCACAGGUAAAACGGCAGCAAGAUGAAUCGGUCGGGGCUCCUGCUCUGGUGGCUACUCUUCAUACUCUUCGAAAUUGUCAGCCAAGCCUACGGCUGCAGCACUUGCUGCCGCAAGAGACCCUGUCGUCCUCCUCGCUGCCCCGGCGGCUGCAAGCCCAAGUACUGGUGACCGCCUAUCCCAUACCGUAAUGUUCGCAUGGCUCCUGGCGCGGCUGGCGCUCCUGCUGUGGCUGGCGCUGGCGGCGGCCGCCUGCAAGAAGAGGGUCAUCGUGUGCCGCCCGCCGCCCGGCCAGCCACCCGCGUGCCGGCAGGGCGU